ACCCUAGUUAAAAAGUCCUAUUUCCAUCUCUUUCAACCCUUCCAGGCCCUGGGGGUCCCAGGCCGAGUCAACAGCUCCGGCUACAUUGUGGUGAACUCCACGGCCAUGGACGCUCAGGUGCUGGUCACCGUGGAUGCCAGCACGCUACGGGGGCUGCUUGUCCUCAGUACCACCGAGACCCAGCAGGAGGUGAACUUGCUGCUCACACACAACCUGCCUCAGCCCAACCCCUUGGCCCUCCCAGCCCAGAUCCUGCUGUACCUGACCAACGAGAGGCUCGGGCCCAGCUACAGACACACCCUGUGGGUCGGAGUGGAUGGCAAAGAGGGCACAUCUCCCUGGGUUGCAGACUCCAGCACAGCAUGCCUGCACUGCAGACGCUUGGGUGGAGGACACGGUGGCCCUUCAGCUUUCUCUUUUCCAUCGACUUCCCAUCAUCCGACACGUGAUGCCUUCCGUGUUGUCCCGGCCUGACUCCCACUGCUGGUGUUUAAGUUCCACGUGGUAAUGUAACAGUUCAGACAUUUCUGUCUGUCUCACCUGUGGCAGCCUCCGAAGGUUUAACAGUACCCAGCAAGUGGUAGGUGUUCAGUCAGCAUGGUUGAACGAUGGAGUGACAUCUCCUGCUUUAUAGCUGCUGCUGCUAAGUCGCUUCAGUCCUGUCCGACUCUGUGCGACCCCAGAGACGGCAGCCCACCAGGCUCCCCC
rnacentral:lncRNA from 1 species